CAGGGAAUCUUGCGCAAUGGGCGAAAGCCUGACGCAGCAACGCCGCGUGGGGGAUGACGGCCUUCGGGUUGUAAACCCCUUUCAGAAGGGAAGAAAUUGACGGUACCUUCAGAAGAAGCCCCGGCCAACUACGUGCCAGCAGCCGCGGUAAUACGUAGGGGGCGAGCGUUGUCCGGAAUUAUUGGGCGUAAAGAGCUCGUAGGCGGCUCAGCAAGUCGGCUGUGAAAUCCCGAGGCUCAACCUCGGAACUGCAGUCGAUACUGCUGUGGCUAGAGUCUGGUAGAGGAGAAUGGAAUUCCCGGUGUAGCGGUGAAAUGCGCAGAUAUCGGGAGGAACACCAGUAGCGAAGGCGGUUCUCUGGGCCAGUACUGACGCUGAGGAGCGAAAGCGUGGGUAGCAAACAG
rnacentral:rRNA from 1 species